AUAACGAAAAAGUUAUGUCUAAUCGAAAAUCCGCAACAAAACCGGCAAAACGUUGUUCAGUGUAAAAACUGAAUUUUUAAUAAAAAGGAUUUUUAGCCUUAACAAUCUAAAUGAAAGUCGUAGUUUAUGUUAAAUCGAGAACUUUCAUAAAAAGAACGUCAAAAUCUGACUUCGUAUGAGGAAGUUAUGAUUUUUCUAAAUUUCAGUAUAGCAGUGUACAGCUAAAAACUCGAAAUUAAGAUUGAGCGGUUUAUAGCCGACACAACCUAAAUGAGAAUUGAAGGUCUCGUUAUUAGUAGUACAACGGUAAAAAGACAAACAAAAACGGACGUCGGAUGAAUAAGUUAUGAAUUUCUAACAGAUUUCCUGUCCGGGUCUGUUUAAAAUAAUAAUAUUAAAAAUAAAGUCAAAAUUAGCCGACGAAGUCUAAACGAAAGUCGUAGAGUAUAAUUUUAUCUACGCAUACAUAUAAUGAACAUCAAAAACGGAGUUCGUAUGCAAAAGUUAUGAAAUUUACAAGUUUUUGGCACAAAAAUAAAGAAAAAUAGAAAAAAAACCGGGAAAAUUCGCAUGAACAGUAACCGCCACGUCACCCUCGCAUGCGAGCCUCCAUGUGGCAUCUUCUGAUUGGACCGCAACCUCGUGUGUCACCUCCUGAUUGGAACGCAGCCGAGGUCCACUUACAACCGGACAGCCUCGAAUGAGACACACCGGAGACACCCCUCGGACACCCCCUUCGCACGUGCCCUCUUCCCAUUGGACCGAGGUCUGGUCCAAUCCGAUCCUACAACCUCCGAACCGAAGUUGCUUCCCUUCGCAUGCUGUCAGCCUCGCAUAGCCUCGCAUAAGCCUCGGAUCCGAGGCUUUGGCCUAUAUAAGGCAUGCGAGGGUUCCAACUAUUUUACACUUUUUCACCCUAAAUUUCACCCGCUUUCAUAUUUUCCACUUCCACAAGCUCAUAUACAACCCCUAAAACCCCGGUAUCAAGACUCAAGCCUGAAGCAAGCCUCAAAGCCUCGAAAUUCCCAAGAAGUAACCUCUCUCCUGUCAAAACUCUGCCCGAUUUGAGCCGGUUUGUCGACAAAUAAACUCCUUUUCGUGAAACGAAACUUUGUACGAUUCACCAUCUAUCAAGUGAGUUCAUAACCCCGUAUUUUCAUAAUUUCUACUAUGUUAAGGGGGGGAAAUACAAGUAUAACACAAGAACUUUAUGUUAUAAAUAAAUGAUUUCAAAUCACGAUAAAACUAUUUUAAAGCAUCAAAAAUACUCCAAAUAUUAAACUCUUUUAUAAACUUAUAUUUUUCCCAANUUCUUGUUUGGAUGUGGACUUAUCGUAUCGGUUAUUUGUCCGAAGGUCGUUUAAAUUUUACUUAUAUAUAAAAUUGUAUAUGUAUAUAAAUAUAACAAUUAUUUCAUCGGUUUAAUUACCCUUUGUAACAUGAUGAGCAAAGGAUUACAUGCAAAAAUAGUUAUUUACUAAUUCAUAAAUUACAUAUAAAUUAUAAUAGAUAUAAUUUAUGAUACAUAGAACGAUUAUUCAUGAUUCAAGUAUACUAGAAUACACUGUUUUACAUAAAAUAAGGGUUGUGAUUCAAAAUAAAACAAGGGUUUACACUUGUCAAAUACAUGUUUGGAAUACUAAUUCAAGAGCAUACUAUCAAUCAUUUAUUUCAGAAUGAUUGAGUUUUCAUAUCUAAUAUACAUGUAACGUUUAUACGCUUUUUAUGAGACAUUCAAUUCAGGUUGUUUAAUUAAAUUUAGAUAACCAAGGUAAAGUCCUGACAUUAUAACCAGAAUCUCCAGCCCGGGUAUCAAAACAAGUUGUGUGUAGAUCUAUAUCGGGAUUGACAACCCCGCACUCAGGCUGCUAGCUAUAGUCAAUCAUACACGCCAAUGAGUGGCAAUUAUUAUCAACAAAUUAAACGCUCACAAGGUGUUUGUUUCAGGCGUUCAUGUCUUAGUAUGGUUAUAUUAACUCAUUAAAAAGAUAUUAACAACACGUUAGUGUAUAAACAACUAAACGUAAGUACAUCUUCAAAGUAACAGUUUACAAAAUACAAAGUACAAUGGUAUACUACAGUUUUCAAUAACGAAUGGUGAAGCCAGGCACACUCUCAGUUACAAGUUUUAAAAAUAGGACGGUUUUAUGGGAAUCAAACUACUUUUCACAUACCAUAGAAAAUAUGGGAUUUUUUUAGAAUAGUUUUCAUAUUCAAAAUACAAAGACACCCAUUCAAACAUAAAGACUCAUGUACUCACUCAACUUAUUGUUGAUACUCUCUUUUCAAAUUACUUGUAUUCUCAGGGAAAUAAUAACAUGUACUCCCCGAGCUUUUUGAGAAGAUGGAGCCAUUAUGAGUCAUAUCUUCUUCUUUUGUAUAACUAUUUUGGUUUCAAUAUACAAUGAUUGAACACAUGUAAAUAUUUUACUUUUAAAUACAAUGGUUGUUUGUACUUUGAUUACUAUGAUGCAUGUGUUGUGAUACUACAAAUGAAGUCCUCCACCCCCGGACGUUUCCACCGUAUGGUUUGGGGGUGUGACAGAUUGGUAUUAGAGCAUUGUUUAUAGUUAACUCAGUAUAUCAAUCCAAAAAAGAUAUACAAACUAUAAAUACAUUGGCACUAAGAGCUCUGACUACAAGUAUUUUUUUUAGAAUUCUAAGUAUUUUUACCCGAAGUAUACCAACCCUCAUACCUACAAGUACAUAGUCAUAAGAACUUAAAAGUAUUUGGAUUUUGAACAUUACAGUCAAACCCGGGCAGUUAUGUAAUCAUAUCUAGAAUUAAUAUAGCCUGAUCAACUAUAUUGAUUUCAUAUAUGACCAACAUGUGUUUGGGAGUGAUAGUAGUGUUGUGACAUGUCUAAAACUUACCAACUAUAGAAGAAAGUCUAGAACAGAACAUAAAAUACUAUAAGAAUAUUUUAAACAUCGAUAUGCUUUAGUUUUUUAGGCAUUUCUCAUAACCUUAUUCUCGUACAGACACAAUGGCAGGACAUCAUCUACCAGGGGACCCUUAUUUUCCAAAUCAUGGCAAUGAAGGAUGGAUAGUGGAGGAUCCGGAGGAGGAUCCAGAAGAAGACUCGGACGAAGAACCCUUUGAGGACAGCGAGUCAAGUGGUACAGAUAUAGAGCCACAAGUCUGCAACCCAGGGUUACGUCCCCUAAGGCAAGUGGAAGCAAUCCCUAUACCUGAUUGGGGCCAAUACAUAAACUAUUGGAGUCGACAAGAUGCAAGAUGAUACCCAACACCAUACUGAAGCCCUUCAAAGGAAACUUAAUGCUGUUGAAUUAGAGAUCAGAGAACUAAGGGAGCAUCAAGCUGCCCAAGAAAGGGGCUGGAAAUCGCAAGACGAAGUGGAACCCAGUAACUGUCGUAGCAACCGCCGCAAGUAGUGUUUACACUACUUUUCUAGUUUAAUAUACUUAAUGUAUAGACUACUUUCAAGAUAUGUACAAAAUCAAGUAUCAAUAAAAUAAUAAGCGCUUUACUUCAACAAGAGUUAUUACAAUUUUCACAAAUAUUCCAUUCCAAAGUUUUGGGAUUAUGGAUAUGUUCCAGUGUUAUUUUUCAUACUUUUCAAUACGACCGCGAAAAUUUUUAUUUUCGGUAGGUCGGUUUGAUGUCGAUACUUUCACAAUAUUGUGGUAUAUUAUAAGACCUGCUUGAAGGUCAAAUAUACAUAUUACAUAGAUACCAACACAAUCGACAUGUAUUUUUAUACUCUUUUAAAAAUAACCACUCCAUUUUAUAUUAUCCUAUUGCAAGUUUUACUUGCAGUGGACAUCUAUUUCCAAUUCUUUACAAGCUUCUUAUGAAUUAAGUGUUUAAGUUCAGAGAUAUCAAAUUCAUAUUCAUUCUUAAUAUCUCACUAUAUUUUUAUUGACUUUUUUAGAAAAAGAUGCCUCCUCGUAGAAAUCCAAGACGUAACAAUGAAACUGAAGCACCGACGCCACCUCCACCACCACCUCCUCAAUUCGAUGCUGAUAUGUUCCAAGCAGCAGUCACGGCAGCUGUAGCGGCUGCUUUAUUUCAUAUCAAUGCUCCUGGUACUAGUGGGUCGGGAGCUGGUGCACAUCCAUCUACGCAUGUUGAGGGUCAUGAGCACUCGCGAGAGUGCACUUAUAAAGACAUCUCGAAUGCCAAACCAAGGACCUUUAAUGGAACUGAAGGAGAGAUGGUUUUAAGGCAGUGGAUCGAGAAGACAGAAGCAAUCUUUGAAAUUUGCUCCUGUCCAGAGGGUAGCAAAGUUAAAUUUCCUGCCUACACUUUCUCAGAUAGGGCUCUAACAUGGUGGAAUGGCCAUGUUAAAUCACUGACUUUGAUAGUGGCUAAUAAUAUAAGCUGGGAGAACCUAGAAACCAUGCUGAUGCGGCAAUACUGCCCGCGAGGGGAAAUUCAGAAACUGGAACAAGAACUACGGGGUCUUACCAUGACCGGUGUAGACAUAACAACUUACACGAAUCGGUUCUGUGACUUGGCGAUUAUGUGUCCAGAAAUGGUUGCUCUAGAGAGCAAAAAUAUUGAAAGGUAUAUUUGGGGAUUGUCGCCCCCGAUACAGGAAAGUGUCAUUGCAUCUAGGCAUGUUACCUUUGACAGUGCCAAGGAACUGGCACAGUCACUUAUUGACCACGGAAAUCGUCAAAACUCUGUGGUUACUGCCCCAGAACAACCUAGGGAGAACAACAACAACAACAACAACAAGAAGGGUUGGAACAAAAGGAAGGGCAAAUAUCCUUUGGAACCUUCAAAGAAGCAACAAAUAGUGGUUGUCCGUGCUACUACUGUACCUGAUACCAAACCUGCUAUUGUGUCACACCCCCAAACCUGAACGGCGGAAACGUUCGGGGGCGGAUGACUUCAUGUGGUAACGUAACAAAUGAAUACAUAGUAAAGAAAGCAAUACAACCAUCAUAUAUAUAAUUGAAAGUUUACAUUUGUCAAAAGUUACAUGUUCAAAACCAAUUACAAUAUGAUGUCAAAAUAUGAGAUUAGACUGGCGCCGCAGCAUCCCUUCUUCAAAAGCAUAUUGAUACCUGAAAUUACUGAAUCCCUAGGACAUACAAGUAAUUUUGAAAGAGUAUAUCAGCAUUUAAGCUGGUGAGUUUCAUAAGUAUUAAAUGAAAAAGGUUUGUAUGAAAUGAAAUGUUUUGUCCUUGUUUGUUGGUUUCUAGAAAAUCCUAUAUUUUCUACUAGUAUAAAAGUAGCCUUCUCUCAAGACCAAUGUUUGUUUCUAAAAGGUAUGUAAGUGUAAAAUAACCAACGUGUUUGAAAACCUCAUAAAUCAAUGUAUUUUUAAUACCCCAUGUGAAUUUUAUAACCAUACUAUUCACUCGGAAUGCCUAUACACAACGUUCUUCAGGCGUUGGAAUGUUAUGACGUUUGUCACCCCAAAUGGUGGACUGUAGCUAACAGUCAAGGCGCGGGUUGUCAAGCCCGUAUAGAUCUAUACACAAACACCAUGUGCCCCCUCCAAGGGAUUCUGGUAUAUAAUAUAGGACUUGAAAUGUGUACUCGAACGUACGUGAAGUUAAUGUCUCACAAACCGUGGUAUAAAACCAGAUUUUCGUGUUAAAAUGUUCGUUUGUGCUUGUAUAUGAAAGUGACUUCUUGAAAAUCGUGUUUCUAGUAUGUAAAAGUUAGCAAUAUCCUCAUAAAACUAUACCUAUUAUAGUUUUCUAAAAGUGUAUCUCGUUUGUUUAGAAAUACCUAGAAAAGAAAUCACUUCUUAUGAAAGUAUAGAUUUUUGUAGGGACUAAGAUAGAUUUUUGUAGGGACUAUUGUAACAUAUUUUAUAUACGAGAGUUCCCUAUAAAGUUUAUAAAUCACAUAUGAUUUGGUUAUAUAAAAGCAUAUAAAAAUUCUUUAUACAACACACGAUGAUACUCGUGUGCUUUACUUGUAUCCCCCCCCUUUGAAAGCAUAUAAAAGCAUUUAUAGAAUAUUUAAAAGGUUAAUUAAGGGGUAUGAACUCACUUGAAAGUUUGAAGAAAGCGAGAUGGAAACCGGGCAGAGUUUCGUCUUGGGAAACGGGUUUUUCUCGGGAUUCUCGGGAAUCUCGGGAGUAAAAAUGACCCUCGGGACUUGAGCAAAAUGAUUGGGGCUUCGGGUUAGAACGGGCACGGAAAACGAGGCAAGAAAGCACAAGAAAGGAGAUAAAUGGAGCCCUUUCCUCGGAACCCUCGCAUCCCUUUUAUAGGGGCUGGAACCGCCUCGGUACGCAGGGUGUACGAGGGUACGCGGGGCGUACGCGUACGUCAUGCAUGACUGAGUCGUCGACUGCCUCAGACUUCGGAUAGGACAAGGCUACUUCGCAUAGACCGGGACGUGGACGAUCCGAGGCCUAGGCCUUGAGUACGCGGGGCGUACGAGGGUACGCAUGGCAUACUUCGGCCUUAUCUGCUGACUCCUCUUCGGAUAUUACCAAGAGUUUAUAAUUAAAUUUAUAUUUAAUUUAAUUAAUAAACUUCUAAAAUUCAUAUCUUCAUACGAAUUCCGUUUUCGAUGGUCUUUAUAUCCACGCGUAGGUGAGACUACGUUCUACAACUUUCGUUUAGACUCCGUCGGCAAAUUUCGAAAUUUUUUUUAUUAUUUAUUUUUAAAUUGUCGUGUUUAAGGAAUUUCUUUAGAAAUUCAUAACUUCUAAAUCUGACGUCGGUUUUUGCCAGACUUUUUACCGCUGAAAUACCAUUGUCGAGACCUUUUAUUCUCAUUUAAGUCAUUCCGGCCAAAAGUCGCUCGAUCUCCGAUUCGAGUUUUUAGCUGUCUGUUGCUAUGCCGAACUUGGAAAAAUCAUAACUUCAACAUACGAAGUCGGAUUUGGGCGUUCUUUUUACGUACGAACACGGUUUAAUGACAUUAAAGAUAGUAGGAAUUUAAAUAGAUACUUUUUGGACAUUUUAUUAUCAAAGUAAAUUUCAUUAACUCAAAGGUGGUUACAAUACUUGACUUUUUAGGUCAUUACAAAGAGUUGAAAUAUCAGGUUGUCACAUAUUGUGCCUGCUGUUGCCCUUAACAACCCAGCACCAACUAAACCCUAUGUUGGUAGACUCCCUAAAUGCAACAAGUGCAAUUUUCACCACACUGGAAAUUGCCCAGAGAUGCAGUGCCGUAACUGUAACAGGAAAGGGCAUACUGCCCGAUUCUGUAGAACACCACCUCAACCACUUAACCAAGUACCAGCCGUCGGAGUAGGUCGAGCAUGCUACCAAUGCGGUGAUGUGGGGAAUUUCAAGAGAGAUUGUCCAAUCGCUGGAAAUGCCGGUGGGGUUGGGAGAAUUCUAGCACUGGGUCACGAAAUAAAGAUCUGGUGGUUUUUAGCCAACACAACCUAAAACGAGAAUUGAAGGUCUCGUCAUUAGUAGUACAACGGUAAAAAGACAAAUAAAAACGGUCGUCAGAUGAAGAAGUUAUGAAAUUUUAACGGAUUUCCUGUCCCGGUCUGUUUAAAAUAAUAAUAUUAAAAAUAAAUUCAAAAGUAGCCGACGAAGUCUAAAUGAAAGUCGUAGAGUAUAAUUUUACCUACGUGUGCAUAUAAAGAACGUCAAAAACGGAUUUCGUAUGCAAAAGUUAUGAAAUUUACAAGUUUUUGGCACAAAAAUAAAGAAAAAUUGAAAAAACUGGGAAAAUUCGCAUGAACAGUAACCGCCACGUCACCCUCGCAUGCGAGCCUCCACGUGGCAUCUUCUGAUUGGACCGCAGCCUCGUGCGUCACCUCCUGAUUGGACCGCAGCCGAGGUCCACUUAGCACCGGACAACCUCGCAUGAGACACACCAGAGACACCCCUCGCAUGCUCCUCGGACACCCCCUUCACACGUGCCCUCUUCCCAUUGGACC
rnacentral:lncRNA from 1 species